rnacentral:rRNA from 1 species
CCUACGGGUGGCAGCAGUGAGGAAUAUUGGUCAAUGGACGAGAGUCUGAACCAGCCAAGUAGCGUGAAGGAUGACUGCCCUAUGGGUUGUAAACUUCUUUUAUAUGGGAAUAAAACGUUCCACGUGUGGGAUUUUGUAUGUACCAUAUGAAUAAGGAUCGGCUAACUCCGUGCCAGCAGCCGCGGUAAUACGGAGGAUCCGAGCGUUAUCCGGAUUUAUUGGGUUUAAAGGGAGCGUAGGUGGUUUGUUAAGUCAGUUGUGAAAGUUUGCGGCUGAACCGUAAAAUUGCAGUUGAAACUGGCAGUCUUGAGUACAGUAGAGGUGGGCGGAAUUCGUGGUGUAGAGGUGAAAUGCUUAGAUAUAACGAAGAACUCCGAUAGCGAAGGCAGUUCACUGGACUGCAACUGACACUGAGGCUCGAAAGUGUGGGUAUCAAACAGGAUUAGAUACCCUGGUAGUC